CAAUGGGCGCAAGCCUGAUGCAGCGACGCCGCGUGAGGGAUGGAGGCCUUCGGGUUGUAAACCUCUUUUGUUAGGGAGCAAGGCACUUUGUGUUGAGUGUACCUUUCGAAUAAGCACCGGCUAACUACGUGCCAGCAGCCGCGGUAAUACGUAGGGUGCAAGCGUUAUCCGGAAUUAUUGGGCGUAAAGGGCUCGUAGGCGGUUCGUCGCGUCCGGUGUGAAAGUCCAUCGCUUAACGGUGGAUCCGCGCCGGGUACGGGCGGGCUUGAGUGCGGUAGGGGAGACUGGAAUUCCCGGUGUAACGGUGGAAUGUGUAGAUAUCGGGAAGAACACCAAUGGCGAAGGCAGGUCUCUGGGCCGUUACUGACGCUGAGGAGCGAAAGCGUGGGGAGCGAACAGGAUUAGAUACCCUGGUAGUCCACGCCGUAAACGGUGGAUGCUGGAUGUGGGGCCCGUUCCACGGGUUCCGUGUCGGAGCUAACGCGUUAAGCAUCCCGCCUGGGGAGUACGGCCGCAAGGCUAAAACUCAAAGAAAUUGACGGGGGCCCGCACAAGCGGCGGAGCAUGCGGAUUAAUUCGAUGCAACGCGAAGAACCUUACCUGGGCUUGACAUGUUCCCGACGAUCCCAGAGAUGGGGUUUCCCUUCGGGGCGGGUUCACAGGUGGUGCAUGGUCGUCGUCAGCUCGUGUCGUGAGAUGUUGGGUUAAGUCCCGCAACGAGCGCAACCCUCGCCCCGUGUUGCCAGCGGAUUAUGCCGGGAACUCACGGGGGACCGCCGGGGUUAACUCGGAGGAAGGUGGGGAUGACGUCAGAUCAUCAUGCCCCUUACGUCCAGGGCUUCACGCAUGCUACAAUGGCCGGUACAACGGGAUGCGACAGUGCGAGCUGGAGCGGAUCCCUGAAAACCGGUCUCAGUUCGGAUCGCAGUCUGCAACUCGACUGCGUGAAGGCGGAGUCGCUAGUAAUCGCGAAUCAGCAACGUCGCGGUGAAUGCGUUCCCGGGCCUUGUACACACCGCCCGUCAAGUCAUGAAAGUGGGCAGCACCCGAAGCCGGUGGCCUAAC
rnacentral:rRNA from 1 species